rnacentral:rRNA from 1 species
ACGAAGGUCCCGAGCGUUGUUCGGAAUCACUGGGCGUAAAGGGAGCGUAGGCGGCGUGGUAAGUCAGAUGUGAAAUCCCGGGGCUCAACCCCGGAACUGCAUCCGAUACUGCCGUGCUUGAGGGUUGGAGAGGUAGCUGGAAUUAUCGGUGUAGCAGUGAAAUGCGUGGAUAUCGAUAGGAACACUCGUGGCGAAGGCGAGCUACUGGACAACAUCUGACGCUGAGGCUCGAAGGCUAGGGGAGCAAAAGGGA